rnacentral:rRNA from 1 species
GAGCUUGAUCCUGGCUCAGGAUGAACGCUAGCGGGACGCCUAACACAUGCAAGUCAAACGGAUUUUAUUUUGUAGCAAUACGAGAUAAAAUUAGUGGCAAACGAGCGAGUAACGCGUACUUAACCUGCCCCAAAGAUGGGAACAACUAUGGAGACAUAGCUAAUUCCCAAUAUUGUCUGGUGAAUGAAAAUAGCCAGACCAAAGAUUUAUCGCUUUGGGGGGGGGGUGCGUCCUAUCAUGGUAGUUGGUGGGGUAAUGGCCUACCAAGCCUUUGACGGGUAGCCGGUCUAAGAUGAUGUUCGGCCGCGAUGGAACUGAGAUACGGUCCAUACUCCUACGGGAGGCAGCAGUGGGGAAUCUUGCACAAUGGACGAAAGUCUGAUGCAGCGAUCCCGCGUGGAGGAUGAAGCCCUAUGGGGUGUAAACUCCUUUUCUGGUGGAAGAAGAAUGACGGUACACCAAGAAUAAGAGACGGCUAACUACGUGCCAGCACCCGCGGUAAUACGUAGGUCUCGAGCGUUAUCCGGAUUUACUGGGCGUAAAGUGUCCGUAGCCCGACAUACAAGUCUGUUUUCAGAUACUCUGACUCAAUCAGAGAAAGGGGAUAGAUACUGUAUAUCUAGAGAUUAUUAGAGGUUAGUGGAAUUUCCGGUGGAGCGGUGAAAUGUGUUGAUGUCGGAAAGAAUGCCGAAAGCGAAAGCAGCUAACUAUGAUACAUCUGACGGUGAUGGACGAAAGCUUGGGGAGCAAACGGGAUUAGAUACCCCGGUAGUCCAAGCUGUAAAUUAUGUUUGCUAGGUGUCUUCUCCUAUAAUUAUGUUUGUCAUAGAUAAAUGUAACUAUAGGAGGGGGUGCCGUAACCUAAACGGGUUAAGCAAAUCGCCUGGGUAGUAUAUUCGCAAGAUAUCAAACUCGGGAGGGAUAGGUCGGGGGUAC